UUCAAUAAAACAAAAAUAAUCUCUGUGGAACAGAGUAUUUCCUGCCUUCUACUCUACCUAUUCCAAUAAACAAAACUAAAAGUUGUAAAUCUAAGGAUUAAAAUUGAAGAGCUGAAAGGGACCAUGGGGAUCUUGUCAGUUUAGGGAGAGGACCUCUUGGAGCAUUAGCAAAGUCAGGAAGGGAAGCCAGCCUUCUGUGGCACAAGAUGUCUUUUGUACACUUUACCACACUAUCUUUCUGGCAGAGGAAGUCUUUUUCUGUAGGUCAUCUUUAAUAUAUCAUUCUUCCUCAUAAAUUUGCUGUUUUAAUCACCACCAUUUCCUUUGUUAGAUAUUAGUUUGGGUUAGGGGGAUAAAAUUGACAUUUGAUUUGUUUUUUUCCCCUUCAAAGAUAUUUAUCUUGUUUUCUCAUUCAGCAUUUUUUAAUGUCAACAGUUAUUAAGGAGUUUAUAAAAGGCGGUGCAGAUUGAGGAGGGGAAGAUUGAGCAAGUGCUAUCACUUGUGAAGGUGCUCUGUCUGUCUACUUAGUAUCCUUUUAAACCUGACAAGGGUUAACGAACUCCUGCUGAAGUCUAUCCACAGUUGCACAUGGGUAUUGGGUACUUAAAAAAUAAGUUUAAGUCAGUGUAUAAAUCUCUUGAAACAGUAUGCCACCUAGUUUGUCUAUAGCAGAGUAUGAGAGUCAGGCCACAGCACUGUGUGACAUCAACUUGAUCCUUUCUUCACAAAGUAGAAGUAACACAUGUUCUCCAUUGGCAGAGAUAGGCUAGGAAAUUCAAGUUCAAGGCCCUGGCAGAUACAGUGUCUGGAAGCAGUAUUUUAGGAGUCAUUUCCUCUGAUCUGAAAUAACAGAAGGAAUAUCAAAUCUGCAUGUAACUAUCUCUGAAUGUUUUGAAAAAUAUUUUAUAAAUAAGACUGACAAUUUCAAGAGUUAAUAAAAAUUA